rnacentral:rRNA from 1 species
GACGAACGCUGGCGGCGUGCUUAACACAUGCAAGUCGAACGGAAAGGCCCUGCUUUUGUGGGGUGCUCGAGUGGCGAACGGGUGAGUAACACGUGAGUAACCUGCCCUUGACUUUGGGAUAACUUCAGGAAACUGGGGCUAAUACCGGAUAGGAGCUCCUGCUGCAUGGUGGGGGUUGGAAAGUUUCGGCGGUUGGGGAUGGACUCGCGGCUUAUCAGCUUGUUUGUGGGGUAGUGGCUUACCAAGGCAUUGACGGGUAGCCGGCCUGAGAGGGUGACCGGCCACAUUGGGACUGAGAUACGGCCCAGACUCCUACGGGAGGCAGCAGUGGGGAAUAGUGCACAAUGGGCGGAAGCCUGAUGCAGCAACGCCGCGUGCGGGAUGACGGCCUUCGGGUUGUAAACCGCUUUCGCCUGUGACGAAGCGAGAGUGACGGUAAUGGGUAAAGAAGCACCGGCUAACUACGUG